GACGAACGCUGGCGGCGUGCUUAACACAUGCAAGUCGAACGGAAAGGCCUGCUUUCCCUUGUGGAUUGCGGGUACUCGAGUGGCGAACGGGUGAGUAACACGUGAGUGAUCUGCCCCCAACUUGGGUAUAAGCCUGGGAAACUGGGUCUAAUUCCCGAUAGGACUGCAGGGUGGUGCCUGUGGUGGAAAACGAUUUUCUAGUGGUUGGGGAUGAGCUCGCGGCCUAUCAGCUUGUUGGUGGGGUAAUGGCCUACCAAGGCGGCGACGGGUAGCCGGCCUGAGAGGGUGGACGGCGACAGUGGGACUGAGAUACGGCCCAGACUCCUACGGGAGGCAGCAGUGGGGAAUAUUGCACAAUGGGCGGAAGCCUGAUGCAGCGACGCCGCGUGGGGGAUGACGGCCUUCGGGUUGUAAACUCCUUUCGGCCGCGAGGAAGCCACCUGGUUGGAAGGGUGGUGACGGUAGUGGUAGAAGAAGCACCGGCUAACUACGUG
rnacentral:rRNA from 1 species